rnacentral:rRNA from 1 species
GAUGAACGCUGGCGGCGUGCCUAAUACAUGCAAGUCGAGCGAACAGACGAGGAGCUUACUCCUCUGACGUUAGCGGCGGACGGGUGAGUAACACGUGGAUAACCUACCUAUAAGACUGGGAUAACUUCGGGAAACCGGAGCUAAUACCGGAUAAUAUAUUGAACUGCAUGGUUCAAUAGUGAAAGACGGUUUUGCUGUCACUUAUAGAUGGAUCCGCGCCGCAUUAGCUAGUUGGUAAGGUAACGGCUUACCAAGGCAACGAUGCGUAGCCGACCUGAGAGGGUGAUCGGCCACACUGGAACUGAGACACGGUCCAGACUCCUACGGGAGGCAGCAGUAGGGAAUCUUCCGCAAUGGGCGAAAGCCUGACGGAGCAACGCCGCGUGAAUGAUGAAGGUCUUCGGAUCGUAAAACUCUGUUAUUAGGGAAGAACAAAUGUGUAAGUAACUAUGCACGUCUUGACGGUACCUAAUCAGAAAGCCACGGCUAACUACGUGCCAGCAGCCGCGGUAAUACGUAGGUGGCAAGCGUUAUCCGGAAUUAUUGGGCGUAAAGCGCGCGUAGGCGGUUUUUUAAGUCUGAUGUGAAAGCCCACGGCUCAACCGUGGAGGGUCAUUGGAAACUGGAAAACUUGAGUGCAGAAGAGGAAAGUGGAAUUCCAUGUGUAGCGGUGAAAUGCGCAGAGAUAUGGAGGAACACCAGUGGCGAAGGCGACUUUCUGGUCUGUAACUGACGCUGAUGUGCGAAAGCGUGGGGAUCAAACAGGAUUAGAUACCCUGGUAGUCCACGCCGUAAACGAUGAGUGCUAAGUGUUAGGGGGUUUCCGCCCCUUAGUGCUGCAGCUAACGCAUUAAGCACUCCGCCUGGGGAGUACGACCGCAAGGUUGAAACUCAAAGGAAUUGACGGGGACCCGCACAAGCGGUGGAGCAUGUGGUUUAAUUCGAAGCAACGCGAAGAACCUUACCAAAUCUUGACAUCCUCUGACCCCUCUAGAGAUAGAGUUUUCCCCUUCGGGGGACAGAGUGACAGGUGGUGCAUGGUUGUCGUCAGCUCGUGUCGUGAGAUGUUGGGUUAAGUCCCGCAACGAGCGCAACCCUUAAGCUUAGUUGCCAUCAUUAAGUUGGGCACUCUAAGUUGACUGCCGGUGACAAACCGGAGGAAGGUGGGGAUGACGUCAAAUCAUCAUGCCCCUUAUGAUUUGGGCUACACACGUGCUACAAUGGACAAUACAAAGGGCAGCGAAACCGCGAGGUCAAGCAAAUCCCAUAAAGUUGUUCUCAGUUCGGAUUGUAGUCUGCAACUCGACUAUAUGAAGCUGGAAUCGCUAGUAAUCGUAGAUCAGCAUGCUACGGUGAAUACGUUCCCGGGUCU